AUUGAACGCUGGCGGCAGGCCUAACACAUGCAAGUCGAGCGGAUGAAGGGAGCGUGCUCCCGGAUUCAGCUGCCGACGGGUGGGUAAUUCCUAGGAAUCUGCCUGUCAGUUGGGGAUAGCGUCCGAACGCGGGCGCUAAUACCGCAUACGUCCUUAGGGAGAACGGGUGGGAUCAUCGGACCUCCCGCUAUCAGAUGAUCCUAGGUCGGAUUAGCUAGUUGGUGGGGUAAAGGCCUACCAAGGCGACGAUCCGUAGCUGGUCUGAGAGGAUGAUCAGCCACACUGGAACUGAGACACGGUCCAGACUCCUACGGGAGGCAGCAGUGGGGAAUAUUGGACAAUGGGCGAAAGCCUGAUCCAGCCAUGCCGCGUGUGUGAAGAAGGUCUUCGGAUUGUAAAGCACUUUAAUUUGGGAAGAAAGGCAGUAAGUUAAUACCUUGCUGUUUUGACGUUACCCAAAGAAUAAGCACCGGCUAACUUCGUG
rnacentral:rRNA from 1 species